rnacentral:snRNA from 1 species
AUACUUACCUGGCUGGGGAGACACCAUGCUCACAAAGAUGGUUUUCCCAGGGCGAGACUUAUUCAUUGUACUCCGGAUGUGCUGAUCCCUACAAUUUCACCAAAUGUGGGAAACUCAGCUGCAUAAUUUGUGGUAGUGGGGGACUUUGUUUGCGCUCUUCCCUA